GGGGAGCAGGGACCAGGCAUGUGGGCUCCCCCACGCGCCCUCCUGCAGGGCCCUGUGCAGGGGCCCUGCACCUCCUCCAGGAAGCCCUCUGGCCCCGUGGUUCUGCUCCUCACCACCUGCUCUGCAGACGCGGGAGCACCUGCACCAGGACUCCUGGGAAGAAAGUCCAGGGCGUCGAGUGGGUGGAGCCAGAGAAGACCCACCAUGGGCUCUGCGAAUGGACUUGUGCGAACCCCCUAACAGACCAACUCAGCACCCCGUUCGUGCUGCCUGCAGAGAUCCCCUUCCCUUUCCCCACAGGGCAGCUCAUGGACACCCUGCUCCUUUCUGUGGAGCCCUAUCUGGUCACAGCAGCAGGACCCCAAGGACACACUGCUGUGAGCUGUUGAAGGGGGACUGUCUGCUCCCAGCCCAGACCCUCCCAGACGGGAGACUCCUUCCUUCCAGGACCUGCCUGUGAGCGCCUGCUGUGGGCCAGCCCCUGGGCCAGGUGCACAGACAUGUCCCGGAGGCUCCUGGCACAGGCUCCGCCACCCUCAUUGUCCCAGGAGGAGAGGGGCCCUGCUCAGUGCCCACAGUACAGAAGGGGCACGGGGCUCUGGAGGAAAGAGCAGGUGGGAGGUUCAGGACCUGGGAGUGUGGCUUCAGGGUCACACCAGGAAGUCAGAGCAGGCGUCACCAAGGACACCAGUGAGAACAGACCAGCAGGAGCUCCCCUUCCAGGCGGGAGGUGACGCUGUGGUUUCCAUUUGCAUGUCCCUGAGGGUCCGCCCUGCUGAGCAUGGCCCUUGUCCCUUCUGGAUCUGCUUCAGAGCAGUGCCUCCCGGGGCCUCCGCCCAUCAUUUGGCCAGUCACAGCAUUCGAGUUUAGUUCCCAGGGUCUGUUUUCCUGCACGUUUUAAAAUAAAAUGAAAAAAUAAUAAUAAGUCAUCUUUUUAGAUAAAGUACUGGCCUCCAAAGUGUGGUAUACGAGGUGAUCCAUUGUGGGAUCCAAGGAAAGUACAAGAAUGUCUGUUUACAUCUUUAUUUUGAUCAUGAGACCCCCCAGUUGGAGCAUGCGGUAGGGUCUCCCCGGCACUGUGGCCUGAUCUGGGUGUCACACGCGAUAGUGGACGCCCCAACGGGACCCUUCCUAUUUGUAAUUUUCCUAGUGGUUUCCUAUAAAUAGUCGGACAAAGAA